CACGCCCUAAACGAUGUCUACUAGUUGUCGGGUCUUAAUUGACUUGGUAACGCAGCUAACGCGUGAAGUAGACCGCCUGGGGAGUNACGCGAAAAACCUUACCUACCCUUGACAUGUCAGGAAUCCUGGAGAGAUCCGGGAGUGCCCGAAAGGGAGCCUGAACACAGGUGC
rnacentral:rRNA from 1 species